CCGUCAAUCUCUCCGUCCCCCUGAAUCACAGACCCAAGAUAUCGGACACUGUCCCUCUUGGCGAUGGCCUGAGAACCAAGCAUCACUUCCCUGCCUAUCCCACUCGGCUCGUCGCCAAACUUGCACUCCAGAUAUUGUAUCUUAGAUCUGCUUAUUUUGAAACCCUUAGACUCGAGGGUCUGUCUCCAUACCUCUGACCUUUCACUAACACCGGCCCUCGUCUUGUCUAUCAAUAUUAUAUCAUCAGCAAAGAGCAUACACCAAGGCACAUCCCCUUGGAUAUGUCGGGUUAGAGCAUCCAUCACUAAGGNNAUCAAUAUUAUAUCAUCAGCAAAGAGCAUACACCAAGGCACAUCCCCUUGGAUAUGUCGGGUUAGAGCAUCUAUCACUAAGGCGAACAACAGGGGGCUCC
rnacentral:lncRNA from 1 species